AGCGAACGCUGGCGGCAGGCCUAACACAUGCAAGUCGAACGAACCUUUCGGGGUUAGUGGCGGACGGGUGAGUAACGCGUGGAACGUGCCUUUAGGUUCGGAAUAACUCAGGGAAACUUGUGCUAAUACCGAAUGUGCCCUUCGGGGGAAAGAUUAAUCGCCUUUAGAGCGGCCCGCGUCUGAUUAGCUAGUUGGUUGAGGUAAUGGCUCACCAAGGCGACGAUCAGUAGCUGGUCUGAGAGGAUGAUCAGCCACAUUGGGACUGAGACACGGCCCAAACUCCUACGGGAGGCAGCAGUGGGGAAUCUUGCGCAAUGGGCGAAAGCCUGACGCAGCCAUGCCGCGUGAAUGAUGAAGGUCUUAGGAUUGUAAAAUUCUUUCACCGGGGACGAUAAUGACGGUACCCGGAGAAGAAGCCCCGGCUAACUUCGUG
rnacentral:rRNA from 1 species